UUUCUUCAUUGUGCUCUAACUUCUAAGUUAUGGCACUGUGCCUUGUUUGAAAUAUUUAGAGGAAAAUGACAUGUUUAGAGAGAAAAUAGGUUUAUAUUAUUUACGUAUAUUUACCUUGUUUACAGUAAAGUUUCAGGACUAUUUGCUACCCCCUUUUUAUUUGGUAUUGCAUGGGUAUUUCUAACUCUAGUCUAAAGGACAUGAACCAAGUUAUAAACUGAUAACUAAUGCAAGCAUUUGAUACUAUUACUUGCACGAACCUUACUAAGUUUCUGUUUUCUUUUAAUUGUAGAUCCUAUGCAACCAAAAAGCAGAUAAUGACCACAGAUGUGCAACAGAGACUACCAGUACCUGAUCAUCAUGUUAUGGUGAAGAUCUCAGGAACAGGACACCUAAGUUGAACUCUGGCAAGGUUGUCCCAUGCAGAAGGUUUGAUACCCAGGCUUCUUUCUAUCCACUCUCAUCUUGAGAACUCUUGAGAGCUCUACAUCAGCACGCUACAUCACAAUGGAAAAUACAAGAAAACCAGCAGUGUGACUGAGAUGAUCAGCACAUUUUAGUGGCAUACCUUAUCUACAAGGCACUCUGCAUGUAGACUGGGAAUUGUGCACAAGGUAGUCAAUGGUCUCUCUGCCUUUCGCUUGAAAGCCCUAUUUUCCUUCACAUAUCACAAACAUGGGAGAACCAAGCCAGAAGCGACAUAGAUCCGUUUGUAUUUGCCCAACUCUCCGUCCCAAAGUUUAAUAAUGGAACUGGCUUCCAGCAAAUGUAUGCCGACAGUCCUGCCAGGUCGAACUGCAAGGGACUACUCCUGAGGCAUCUAAUGCCCUUAUCCCAUUUAAAAAAUAUCAUCUGUCUUCCUCACACCCCUUCACUUAGUUCAUCUUCGUGAUAAGCUGUAUAGCCCUUUGAAUAAAAGUAUUUGUUGUUUUAAUGUGUGUACAUGUAAGAUACAGGUAGCUUUUUGAUAUUUAAUCUGAAUUCAAAUUCUGACCAAUUUAUUAGGGAUGCUGAACUGGAUAUUAAAUUCAAGGUGGGGGAAAUAAAAUGAUGUAGGAAUA